GGCGACGAUGAUGGUGCUAUUAUUAUUUCUGACACCUCUUGUAUGAGGGGAGCCUUCAAAAGCUCUUCGUUGAGCAUAUAAAGCAACUAUCUGAGCC
rfam:Ipomoea nil DNA, scaffold: scaffold0813, cultivar: Tokyo-kokei standard.